rnacentral:rRNA from 1 species
UACGAAGGGGGCUAGCGUUGUUCGGAAUUACUGGGCGUAAAGCGCGCGCAGGCGGCUAUCCAAGUCAGUGGUGAAAGCCCGGAGCUCAACUCCGGAACUGCCAUUGAAACUGUUUAGCUUGAGGACGAGAGAGGUGAGUGGAAUUCCCAGUGUAGAGGUGAAAUUCGUAGAUAUUGGGAAGAACACCAGUGGCGAAGGCGGCUCACUGGCUCGUAUCUGACGCUCAGGCGCGAUAGCGUGGGGAUCAAACAGGAUUAGAAACCCUGGUAGUCC